rnacentral:rRNA from 2 species
GGGUUGUGAGGUUAAGCGACUAAGCGUACACGGUGGAUGCCCUGGCAGUCAGAGGCGAUGAAGGGCGUGCUAAUCUGCGAUAAGCGCCGGUAAGGUGAUAUGAACCGUUAUAACCGGCGAUACCCGAAUGGGGAAACCCAGUGUGACUCGUCACACUAUCAUUAACUGAAUCCAUAGGUUAAUGAGGCGAACCGGGGGAACUGAAACAUCUAAGUACCCCGAGGAAAAGAAAUCAACCGAGAUUCCCCCAGUAGCGGCGAGCGAACGGGGAGGAGCCCAGAGCCUGAAUCAGCAUGUGUGUUAGUGGAAGCGUCUGGAAAGGCGCGCGAUACAGGGUGACAGCCCCGUACACAAAAGCGCAUGUGCUGUGAGCUCGAUGAGUAGGGCGGGACACGUGGUAUCCUGUCUGAAUAUGGGGGGACCAUCCUCCAAGGCUAAAUACUCCUGACUGACCGAUAGUGAACCAGUACCGUGAGGGAAAGGCGAAAAGAACCCCGGCGAGGGGAGUGAAAAAGAACCUGAAACCGUGUACGUACAAGCAGUGGGAGCCCCACCACCAAAGCAUUCUCUGGUGUUGAAGGCCCUGCAAAGCAGCAUCGCGGUGGCGGAGCGUCGUUUGCGACGCCCAACACACAAAACAAGCGGUGAGUGCUUUGGGGUGGGGUGACUGCGUACCUUUUGUAUAAUGGGUCAGCGACUUAUAUUCUGUAGCAAGGUUAACCGAAUAGGGGAGCCGGAGGGAAACCGAGUCUUAAU